GCACGGCACGGGCGGCGCCGAGCGGCCCCGCGGGGAAAGAGGCGGCGGCGGGGGGGAGACGGGACUGGCCGCGACCCCUUCCCCACCACCCUCACCGGGGUGCCGUCUCCCCGCCGUGCCCGUCCUUGUCUGUCAGCCGCCGCCGGGGAGAGGCGUCCCCCGGCGCCGCCGUCCUGACCGCCCCUGCCCACCUCUCGGCGUUACGGCACGUCUAAAGCAGAGCCGGCGGGGCCGUUUGCCGGUAAAACGGCUUUCGUCAGGGAAAAAAUAAUUUUAAAAAAGCCCUUCGCCCGUCGAGGAAACCGGGCACCGGGAAGCAGCGGGGCGGCGGAGGAGCCGGAGUACACUUAUAUGCUUGAGGUGGAUGCAAAUGACUGAAAGUGCCCAGACUUCAGACUGCCUCUUCCUUGUUAGCCCUCUGACCUGCGGAGGUGGACAGCAUUCAAGCUCUGCAACUCAAGAAACGGUGUGAAUUCUGCUGUUACAUAAGAAAUUUCAAGAAAACACGAUGUACUCAGUAGCAGAAUUUCGGGUCUGAUGGGAAGAAAUAAUUAUUGAAUCUCUCUAUAGAUAUGCAGCACCUCCCUACCAUAACACAACAACAAGAACAACAACAAAACAACAACAACAACGAAAAAAACGUAGAACUAGACAGAAUGCACACUUCUCUCAUUGAAAUCACUUGCAGCUGAAGACACUUAAGGACAUUUGGAUAGACUUAUCAAACUGCAGAAUUUUGGUAUUUAAGAAGUCUGGGAUUUAACAAAGCAGCGACAUUUUCUGCUUGCUUCAAGACUGUACUAUGGCAUCAUACUUGUACUAGUUAUGGGGAAAAAAUCCUUCGUAGAACCCCCUAUUUCUCUGAUGGUGUGCUCAGCUUCACUGGAUUUGAAGACUAGUAGCUUCAGGCUUCCUGAAGGAGAAAGGUUUUGUAUGGAUUUUCUCCUGCUGUGUGCCUCUGUGAAUGCGGAUGGCAAGACAUGAGAAGUAGUUGUGUUAGCCUGGGCUAUUUUAAGAAGAGAGGUGGCAUGUCACCCUGCCUUGGAUCCACUGGGGAGUCAGAUGAGAGAUGGGCCAGAUGCUAUCCCUUUGACUCUUUGUAAACUUGGGCUCCAUAAACAAAUGUUUCAGUUUGGAGCUUGAGCUCUGUUUCGUUACAACACACCUGACUCCUGGCACCACAUGGACAUAAAUGCUGUUCCUGAGCAUGGGGAUCUGGAGGUCAGGAUCCCUUCACGCCAAAAUCUGGUGGAAGUUACCAGUAUGCUUCACAAUAUGACAAGGUCCUUAUCAGCUGUGGUUGCUUUGCCUUUGUGAUAGUCUCUUCAUGAUGCUACGAUCACAAGGAGGCACUCCCUCCUCUGAAGACCAGAGCUCAGCUCCUCAAAAGUGUUUAGAAGUUGCCACUGAAAUGAUGGGAAGUUAAUUGCCUUGCUCCAUCUGGACUCAUAUGUUGUGCUGUACUGUCCAUGUUGAAAAUAAUAGGACCACGUUUUAACAGUAUGGUUUUAGGCAUGUGUGAAAACCAUGGGCAACUCUCCAGGUACUCAUAUACUACAGUGAUGGAGGCUACAUGGGCACUUGCUUAGACAGACAGUUGAACAGAUUUCAAAAAGAAGGCUUCCAAAAUGUGUCUUUUAUAAUACAUUGCUGCUUUUUAACAGCUUGUUGGUGAUAGAUUUUUAAACCUGAAGCAUAUGAAUAAUUCAAAUAAGAAAAUGUUGCACAGUAAUGUUGAUUCAGUAACAUUUUAUAUGCUCAUUAGCUAGUGUGCAUUGUAAUUGAACUCUUACAUGUGACAGCCACAUGAAUGCCAAAUGAAUACAUUAUGAUUAACGUUGUUACAAUGAAUACCAAAUGAUUUUUUAAUGACUGAACAGUUACCAUUUUUCUGUUGAUUCUGUGGCAUGCAAAGUUUCGAUUCUUUUUAAAAACUGGAUCUGAGGCAGUGAUAUGAAUGGCUGAUUGUAUUUUAACAUGGAACAUGCUUAGCUGGUGCUGUUGUUAUUCUCCAAGACCCCAUGAUAAUUUUGUUGACUGUUUAAAAAAAGCAACAGGUUAAAAACAAACAAACAAAAAAAACUGUUUUCCUAGAAACUGAUAAUGAAUGAAGGAUUAUUCAGUUGAACCUCUUAGAUAGCAGUGAUCCAUGGAUACUAACCAGACUUCGCAAGGAAAAGGAAAUGGAGGUGACUGCUAAGGCAAUAAAUCAUCUUUCUUUUGGCAAACUGUGGCUCUCAAGUGAUGGAAAAAUAAAAUUAAGAUGUUUUAUUGUUGUCAUGAUUGGAUUAAAUGCUACUUGAAUAAACAAACAAAAUGUUCAUGCUUUAAAUACAAACUUCGUACUUUAUUCAAGUAAGCAAUGCUUCCACUGGCUUUCUUAGCCCUCAGGCUCUAUUUAUCUGCAGGGAACAGUUGUCAUUAAU